rnacentral:tRNA from 1 species
ACGGUUGUAGUUCAAUGGUAGAAUGUAUGGUUGUGGUCCAUGAGACGCGGGUUCGAUUCCCGCCUUCCGUC